rnacentral:rRNA from 1 species
UACGUAGGGCGCAAGCGUUGUCCGGAAUUAUUGGGCGUAAAGGGCUCGUAGGCGGUCUGUCGCGUCGGGAGUGAAAACUCGGGGCUUAACCCCGAGCGUGCUUUCGAUACGGGCAGACUAGAGGGAUGCAGGGGAGAAUGGAAUUCCUGGUGUAGCGGUGGAAUGCGCAGAUAUCAGGAGGAACACCGGUGGCGAAGGCGGGACUCUGGGCUGUAACUGACACUGAGGAGCGAAAGCAUGGGGAGCGAACAGG